rnacentral:rRNA from 1 species
UGAGUAGGCGGUUUAUUAAGUCAUAUGUGAAAAUCCAAAGCUUAACUUUGGACCUGCAUAAGAAACUGGUAGACUUGAGUGCAGGAGAGGUAAGCGGAAUUCCUAGUGUAGCGGUGAAAUGCGUAGAUAUUAGGAAGAACACCAGUGGCGAAGGCGGCUUACUGGACUGUAACUGACGCUGAGUCACGAAAGCGUGGGGAGCGAACAGGAUUAGAUACCCUGGUAGUCCACGCUGUAAACGAUGAAUGCUAGGUGUCGGGUCGAGAGAUUCGGUGCCGGAGUUAACACAAUAGGCAUUCCACCUGGGGAGUACGUACGCAAGUAUGAA